rnacentral:miRNA from 1 species
CAGCAUCAACAUCAGCAUCAACAUCAGCAUCAACAUCAGCAUCAACGUCGAAUCAGAGUAUAUCGACAGGCAGAGCAAGUGAUCGUCUGCUUGUCCGCCG